CCUCUGUUGUAGAGUGGUUCCUACCACUGCUUUGCUGACGACACUCAGCUAUACCUGUCGUUCUCACCAGAUGAUCACUCAAUCUCUGCACGAAUAUCACAGUGUCUCUCAGACAUAUCCGCAUGGAUGAAGGAACAUCACCUCCAACUAAACCUCUCAAAGACUGAACUUCUGGUCAUACCAGCAAAACCUUCUAUUCAACACAACUUUGCCAUAACCAUCGACUCUCUCUCUCUCUCACCGACAAAGGUUGCUAGGAACCUGGGUGUCAUGGUUGAUGACCAGCUUCUCUUCACGCACCAUGUGGCCUCAGUUGCUCGAUCCUGCCGCUUUGCGCUUUACAACAUCGGAAAAAUUCGACCGUUUCUGACGCAACAGGCCACCCAACUCCUGGUACAAGCUGUGGUAAUCUCACGCCUCGACUACUGCAAUGCCGUACUAACUGGCCUCCCGGCCUGUGUAGUAAAACCACUCCAGAUGAUUCAGAACGCAGCAGCACGUCUGGUCUUCAACCAGCCAAAACGGGCACAUGUCACUCCGCUGCUCAUUGAGCUCCACUGGCUACCAGUUGAUGCUCGCAUCAAAUUCAAAGCGCUUACAAUCGCCUACAAGGUGAUGUCAGAACAGGCUCCUUCCUACCUGCACUCGCUCCUGAAGGCUUACGCUACCUCCCGCCCACUGCGCUCCUCCAAUGAACGUCGCCUCGCUUUGCCAAACAUUCACACAAAGCAAUCCAGACUGUUCUCAUACAGAGUUCCCCAAUGGUGGAACAAACUACCUUCCACUACCAGAUCAGGAGAAUCUCUCACUAUCUUUAAGAAACUCCUGAAGACAGAGCUCUUCAAAGAGCACUUACUCUCCUAACACCUCUAACAAACUAACUAAUUCUAACCUCAUCUCCUUCUUCCUCUUCUCUACUCCUCUAUCCCAUUAUUUGCCUCUGACCUCCUUAAGGCCCUAUCUAUAGAUGCUUUAUUUUUAACUUCUAUUAUUUUUGUACUUAACCUCUUCUAUUAUUUGCACUUCAAUAUUGUAAGUCGCUUUGGACAAAAGCGUCUGCCAAAUGUAAUGUAAUGUAAUGUAAUG
rnacentral:lncRNA from 1 species